ACCCAUUUUAUACUUCUUCAUGAGAAUACUCCACGGUGAAAAUGAAACAUCGUGACCUCACAGAGAGAAAAAUAAACUUCAAGCCUCGGGGUGAAAUCGUCAAGUAAUAAGCAGCCGAUUAAUCCUACUACUUCGGAAUGUCUAUUUGUUUUUAUCUAAAUACAUUUUUAUGAUUGUUAACGAAUCAACAAAUUACUCUUUAAGGAAUAUGCAUAGGAUUCAUUUGUUGAUAAGGAAAACUGCCAAUUUUUAUUCACUUGAGCUGUCCAAGUCUCUAAUAAUGCCGGCUAUAGAAUAUAAAUAACCACAAAGAUAAAAAAGUGAUAUUUGAAAGAAAAAAAUGUACCGUAAGAGUGUAUUAGUUGAAGCAGUAACGUGUAGAUAAAAUGUGUAGAAGCCAAACAGAAGAAGCAUCAAGCUGUCGUUUAAAGAGGAAGAGCAAGAGAAAGAUAAAUAGAGAGAUCAGGGAUACUUUCACUCGAUGAGUAUGUCAUCGACGAUGUACACGCGCUCAUGAACUUGCCGCCUUGUGCGAUGUGGAGGUAUAGCCCUACUACUUAUCUACACGGAUAUGUACAAUGAAACUUAUCCCAAUGCACAGUGCAUUCCAUUCAAGUGGUUUAAUAUUUAAUACAUACUUUAAACUAGCAAGACAAUUGCUAUUUAUUAUCAACAAACAUUAGAUCAUUAUCUGGUGACUAAAUAUCAAUAUUCACAUCAUCAAUAAACUAUUUAGUAGCA